UGAACUUAAGCAUAUCAAUAAGCGGAGGAAAAGAAACCAACAGGGAUUGCCUCAGUAACGGCGAGUGAAGCGGCAACAGCUCAAAUUUGAAAUCUGACCCCUUCGGGGCCCGAGUUGUAAUUUGUAGAGGACGCUUCGGGUGCGGCGCCGGUCUAAGUUCCUUGGAACAGGACGUCAUAGAGGGUGAGAAUCCCGUAUGCGACCGGCGGUCAACCUCAUGUGAAGCCCCUUCGACGAGUCGAGUUGUUUGGGAAUGCAGCUCAAAAUGGGUGGUAAAUUUCAUCUAAAGCUAAAUACCGGCCAGAGACCGAUAGCGCACAAGUAGAGUGAUCGAAAGAUGAAAAGCACUUUGGAAAGAGAGUCAAACAGUACGUGAAAUUGUUGAAAGGGAAGCGCUUGCAACCAGACCUGCCCGCGGGCGAUCAGCCGUUAUUCUUAGCGGUGCACUCGUCCGCGAUCAGGCCAGCAUCGGUUCGGGCGGCCGGAUAAAGGCUUCGGGAAUGUAGCUCCCCCCGGGGAGUCUUAUAGCCCGGGGUGCAAUGCGGCCAGCCCGGACCGAGGACCGCGCUUCGGCUAGGAUGCUGGCGUAAUGGUUGUAAGCGACCCGUCUUGAAACACGGACC
rnacentral:rRNA from 1 species